UAGUCCACGCCGUAAACGAUGAUUACUCGAUGUAUGUCCGAUUGAGGAUAUGCGUCUUAGGGAAACCGUUAAGUAAGCCACCUGGGGAGUACGCCCGCAAGGGUGAAACUCAAAGGAAUUGACGGGGGCCCGCACAAGCGGUGGAGCAUGUGGUUUAAUUCGAUGCAACGCGAAGAACCUUACCAGAGCUUGACAUGUCGCAAAUUUUUACGAAAGUUUAAAGUGCCUUAGGGAAUGCGAACACAAGUGGCGCAUGGUUGUCGUCAGCUCGUGCCGUGAGGUGUUGGGUUAAGUCCCGCAACGAGCGCAACCCCUAUUGUUAGUUGCCAGCGAGUAAUGUCGGGGACUCUAACGAGACUGCCCGCGUAAGCGGAGAGGAAGGUGGGGACGACGGUCAAAUCAUCAUGGCCUUUAUGCCUAGGGCUACACACGUGCUACAAUGGCAGGUACAGAGGGUUGCGAAGGGGUGACCUGGAGCUAAUCUCAGAAGGCCUGUCCCAGUUCGGAUUGGAGU
rnacentral:rRNA from 1 species